GGGGAAUAUUGCACAAUGGGCGAAAGCCUGAUGCAGCAACGCCGCGUGAGUGAUGAAGGCCUUCGGGUCGUAAAACUCUGUCCUUGGUGACGAAAAAAAAUGACGGUAGCCAAGGAGGAAGCCCCGGCUAACUACGUGCCAGCAGCCGCGGUAAUACGUAGGGGACAAGCGUUGUCCGGAUUUACUGGGCGUAAAGGGCACGCAGGCGGUUUUUUAAGUCAGAUGUGAAAGGUACCGGCUCAACCGGUAACAUGCAUUUGAAACUGAAAGACUUGAGUAUUGGAGAGGCAAGUGGAAUUCCUAGUGUAGCGGUGAAAUGCGUAGAUAUUAGGAGGAACACCGGUGGCGAAGGCGGCUUGCUGGACAAAUACUGACGCUGAGGUGCGAAAGCGUGGGGAGCAAACA
rnacentral:rRNA from 2 species